CCAUAUAAAGCCUUCCCUUUUUACCAUUGGUAAGUCAGAUAAUCCCCUAAAUAUUGAAUAUUUAUAUGGUGCAAAAAUAAAAAGCUUUUGUACAAAGACAAAACAUGAACAAAUGACAAUUUUCAGUUCUUUACAACCUAUAAAGUGUUUUGAAACUUACUGUGCAUAAUGAAUUGUAACAGUGCAUUGUACGUUUUUUAUGUUUAAAAAAAU